rnacentral:rRNA from 1 species
GAUGAACGCUGACAGAAUGCUUAACACAUGCAAGUCAACUUGAAUUUGGGUUUUUAACUUAGGUUUGGGUGGCGGACGGGUGAGUAACGCGUAAAGAACUUGCCUCACAGCUAGGGACAACAUUUGGAAACGAAUGCUAAUACCUAAUAUUAUGAUAAUAGGGCAUCCUAUAAUUAUGAAAGCUAUAAGCGCUGUGAGAGAGCUUGCGUCCCAUUAGCUAGUUGGAGAGGUAACGGCUCACCAAGGCGAUGAUGGGUAGCCGGCCUGAGAGGGUGAUCGGCCACAAGGGGACUGAGACACGGCCCUUACUCCUACGGGAGGCAGCAGUGGGGAAUAUUGGGCAAUGGACCAAGAGUCUGAUCCAGCAAUUCUGUGUGCACGAUGAAGUUUUUCGGAAUGUAAAGUGCUUUCAGUUGGGAAGAAAGAAAUGACGGUACCAACAGAAGAAGUGACGGCUAAAUACGUGCCAGCAGCCGCGGUAAUACGUAUGUCACGAGCGUUAUCCGGAUUUAUUGGGCGUAAAGCGCGUCUAGGUGGUUAUGUAAGUCUGAUGUGAAAAUGCAGGGCUCAACUCUGUAUUGCGUUGGAAACUGUAUAACUAGAGUACUGGAGAGGUAAGCGGAACUACAAGUGUAGAGGUGAAAUUCGUAGAUAUUUGUAGGAAUGCCGAUGGGGAAGCCAGCUUACUGGACAGAUACUGACGCUGAAGCGCGAAAGCGUGGGUAGCAAACAGG